rnacentral:rRNA from 1 species
GUGGGGAAUCUUAGACAAUGGGGGAAACCCUGAUCUAGCCAUGCCGCGUGAGCGAUGAAGGCCUUAGGGUUGUAAAGCUCUUUCAGCUGGGAAGAUAAUGACGGUACCAGCAGAAGAAGCCCCGGCUAACUCCGUGCCAGCAGCCGCGGUAAUACGGAGGGGGCUAGCGUUGUUCGGAAUUACUGGGCGUAAAGCGCACGUAGGCGGAUCAGAAAGUCAGAGGUGAAAUCCCAGGGCUCAACCUUGGAACUGCCUUUGAAACUCCUGGUCUUGAGGUCGAGAGAGGUGAGUGGAAUUCCGAGUGUAGAGGUGAAAUUCGUAGAUAUUCGGAGGAACACCAGUGGCGAAGGCGGCUCACUGACUCGAUACUGACGCUGAGGUGCGAAAGCGUGGGGAGCAAACAGGAUUAGAAACCCUGGUAGUCC